rnacentral:rRNA from 1 species
UACGUAGGGUGCGAGCGUUGUCCGGAUUUAUUGGGCGUAAAGAGCUCGUAGGCGGUUUGUCGCGUCGGCCGUGAAAUCUCCACGCUUAACGUGGAGCGUGCGGUCGAUACGGGCAGACUUGAGUUCGGUAGGGGAGACUGGAAUUCCUGGUGUAGCGGUGAAAUGCGCAGAUAUCAGGAGGAACACCGGUGGCGAAGGCGGCGCUCUGGGACGGUACUGACGCUGAGACGCGAAAGCGUGGGGAGCGAACAGG